GGAAAAGUUGUGCGAAUCGAAGUGACCGGAAAAACUCCGCUAACAUGACGCGUGCCGCUGCGAUGUUGCUCGUUCUGAUUGCGAUUGUGUCCACGGCUGCGGCCACCUUCGGUUACGGUCUUCUGGGAGGCGGAGGAGGAUACGGUUACGGAGGCAGCGGUUAUCCAUG